UGUCUCUUCAGAGAUUAUAUGGUUAACAGACAGAGAAGAUCAGCGUGGCCCCUGGUACUAAGGAUGGCACGCGUUCAAUCAUGGGGACGCUAUACUUUUUU